CUUCCGCGCGGGGACGGGACCGGGGUGCGGGGGGCACCCGGACUGGGGCGGGGACUCACCCUUUAGCUGCUCGGGUCCUUGACCGCUUCGCACAGGUGGGCACCAAUCUUACUGACAUCGUGGCACAGAGAAAGAUCACCAUCCGGGAGCUUGGGGGGUGCAUGGGCCCCAUCUGGUCCAGUUACUAUGGAAACUGCCGUUCUCUCCUGGUGGGUUGUAAUCCUAUAUGGGCUUCCUUUAGGGAAGUGUGUCUACAUUUCUGUGACGUCCAGUCCCCAACCUUGCUGUGUGUAGAAAGGGGUUUGGGUUAUUUAGUGACUAUACUACUCAUGGAAAUAGGUCUUAGCUAGUGUUGCUUCCUGCUGGGCACCCCGUCUGGUUUCUGGUGCUUGCGCUCCCAGGCCCCCGGUAGGAGCUCACAGAGGGCUUGCUGAGGGCAGGGCUGCUGCUCUGCAGAGAACAGACUUAGCCCUCUGUGUCACUCCCCGGUACGUCUGUGUUUAUGUUGGACUUAUACGUACCUCUGGUUGGUCUCAU
rnacentral:sRNA from 1 species